rnacentral:SRP_RNA from 1 species
GUUCGGGUCUCGUGCAAGGCAGUGUUGUGAACCCUGUCAGGUCCGGAAGGAAGCAGCAGUAAGCAGAUUUCUGUUUGUGCCGCGAGGGUGCCUGUCCGAC